GGAAGAACCAGAACGGAAUGCUAGCGAGGAAGAGGAGGCCGGCGGACACUAGCAUCCCCAUCCACCAAGCUCCCACCCAACGAGCAUCAACUCACCUAAAUCAACAAACCCAAUGUCAACGUAUAUAUUGGCACAGUAGGACCCAAGGAGGUAGCCGAAAACAGGACCAAGAAGAGCAAUAGUCUGGAUACAAGCUGCCAAACGAGAAAACCGAAUGUUCUGAUCCCGUCGUUCAAAUCAAGAGAUUAAAAAAAUCACCUACCGAUGUAGAAGGGAGAGUUCUCAGCUUUAGCAAAGUCGUCGAUGUACGAGAUGCCCAGAGGUGUGACUGGAGUCUCUCCGAUUCCCCGUAACGCGUUCCCCAAGAACACAUAGAUCCACAUAUUGGAACUGGAUUCUUUUUCGCAGGCUGCAUGGAGACACAGGAACUCAAAGGAGGUCUUGGUGGAACUGUGACUCACUAAACACUCAACUGAUUAGUAGAGGACAUAAUACUGUGUCAUCAGUUUCAAGGACCAUGCGGUAGAAGCUAUUAGCAUAGAUGCUAGCUUGACCGCUUGAUAGCUCAUGUCUCUAAAGGAGUGAUUUGAUUCGUCAAGGUUAAAUGACCAGUUGACAUACCGAAGGUGUCAUGGACGUGACCCUCAAGUCGAAACCUUCGGGAAUCACGCCGUGUGUGUGUAUGAGAGCAUGUCUGCCAGGACAUUCCCGGAAUUGUUGAAACGUAGCCAGUAUUUGGAUAUUAAACCAAGGCUUUGACAUUCUGAAUUAAAUAUUUGUUAACUCGUCUCUAGUGAGAUUUCAAGUGAGACUUCUGUUGGAAUGUUGCUGCUCAGUGGGACUAAAAGGAAAAUUAAUCCCCCAGAGAUUUACCUUGUGUCGCGUUACGUCCAAUUUCGUGGCUCACGUCGUUCUCUGGACGGAGACAAGCGAUGGUGCUCAUACUGUCAUUCUGGAAAGCGGCGAUGACCGUGUCGUACUUGUAGCUGGAACGGAAUAUCUUAGGUUAUAAUGAAAUUAUUUAAAUGGGUCAAUCAAGUCUUCAAUGAGUGUCUACCCCGGGAUUUUCUUACGGUCCCAUGAAGAAGUGUGUCAAGCCAGUGAGAAGCGCCCCGACGGCCAUAAGAACGGAACCCCCAGCGAUGAGUCUUGGACGAUGCAUUUUGGCGCCAUAAUGGCUUACCACGGCUAAAAACAACAAGUUGCCUUCCUCCAGGAAAGAAAAUUGCAUCCAGUUAGGAAACGAGUUCCUGUAUUUUUGAGUAAAUCGGUUUUACCCAUUUCGAAACUUCCGUCGACGAGGCCGACGUGGGAGCUGGAGAGAUCGAAACGUCUUUCGAGCUGCGUGAUGGCGCUCUUGACGAAAGUUCCCGCUAGGGUCUUGCAGAAAUAGGCAAAGGAUAACGCUGCGAUAAACAUCUGGAAAGACAAAAAUUGAUAUAAUUUAGGGUUAUGUAACCGUAUUUGGAAUACGAAUUUCAAGUGAUACCUUGAGAGUUGAGAUACCAUGCCGGCGUUUUCCGCGAAUGUCCCCGUUGGAAACGUAGAGAGCCUGCUGGCUGGUCAUUUUGGUUCUGUCCUCGAAUGUUUCCGCCAUCUUUAAAAUCGGGCUUUCAACACUUCAGGUUGCUGUUCUGCAUGGAACUCCAACUGGGCUUUCUCUUCGGUAACAAAGAAAAGAAUCCAUGAAAAAGUCACUUGAAAGUUCUUGAAAGCAUCUGACUAAAUGUUUCUUCCUAAAUUUUUCUGACUAACUAACCUUCAAUUCUUUUCUUAGUUGAGUAUUUAUUUCUAUAAAUCAGAUUAAAACAGCACUCAAAUAGGGCCACUCGCAUUUAUAUGGUCUUAAAUAAAGACCAAGAUAUUCAAACGAUUAAUUUUCAUAAUGCGUAGCUGUGAAAUGAAAACUAUAAAGCAUCAUCCACAUCAUAAGGAUAAAUAAAAAAGUAGGCAAAGGAGAAUUAUAACCUUAAAUUAGAUGUCUCAUAAUGAUUUCAUUUUCCAUGGAAAAAUGGAAUCCAGUACCUAGUGCAUCCUCAGGCUCAUCUCGGGAGACUCUCCCUUCUGUCGAGGCUGCCGGACAUGUCGGGUUUUAA